rnacentral:rRNA from 1 species
ACACGUAGGGGGCGAGCGUUGUUCGGAAUCAUUGGGCGUAAAGGGCGCGCAGGCGGCGAGGCAAGUCCGGUGUGAAAGUGCUCGGCUCAACCGAGUGAUGCGCUGGAAACUGCCCUGCUUGAGUACAGGAGGGGACGUCGGAAUUCCAGGUGUAGGGGUGAAAUCUGUAGAUAUCUGGAAGAACACCGGUGGCGAAGGCGGACGUCUGGCCAUGUACUGACGCUGAGGCGCGAAGGUGCGGGGAGCGAACAGGUUUAGAUACCCUGGUAGUCCGCACAGUAAACGAUGUGCACCAGGUGGCGGGGGGUAGCCCUCGGUACCGAAGCCAACGCAUUAAGUGCACCGCCUGGGGAGUAUGCUCGCAAGGGUGAAACUCAAAUGAAUUGGCGGGG